rnacentral:lncRNA from 1 species
AUGUAGUCUAAGAUAGUAACGUUUAUUGCAUGCACGACCGAGAUUGAGUUAUACUUUAAACAAAGUUGUGUUUUAGCAACAGAAACACAUGUGAAACACUUUACCUAUAUAAAUCAGAUGUGGAGCCGCUUCUUAUAUGGAUUGUGAUUUACUCUUUUAGAGGUUUACGAAACAGGAUAUUGUGCAUGACCAUAAUAGCGCGAUGCAUUGAGAAUAUUUAUCGUGCAUUGAGGAUUUUUUGUUUGUGUUUGUGUGUGACAAUUCUGGUCAAGUCAUUUAAGAAUAGAGGUUCAAUCUACGG